rnacentral:rRNA from 1 species
UACAGAGGUGGCAAGCGUUGUUCGGAAUUACUGGGCGUAAAGGGCGCGUAGGCGGCCAUCUAAGUCAGACGUGAAAUCCCCCGGCUUAACCUGGGAACUGCGUCUGAUACUGGACGGCUUGAGUGCGGGAGAGGGAUGUGGAAUUCCAGGUGUAGCGGUGAAAUGCGUAGAUAUCUGGAGGAACACCAAUGGCGGAGGCAGCUCGCUGGAACGGUACUGACGCUGAGGCGCGAAAGCGUGGGGAGCGAACAGG